rnacentral:rRNA from 1 species
AAUACGAGUCACGGCAUACAGCUCAGUAACACGUGGCUAACCUGCCCUUGGGACGAAAACACCCCCGGGAAACUGGGGCUAAUUUUCGAUAGGCAAAGAACUCUGGAAUGAGUCUUUACCUAAAGGGUACUACGUUAUGCUCGUAGUUUCGCCCAAGGAUGGGGCCGCGACCGAUCAGGUUGUUGGUGAGGUAACGGCUCACCAAGCCUUUUACCGGUGCGGGCCGUGGGAGCGGGAGCCCGGAGAUGGGCACUGAGACAAGGGCCCAGGCCCUACGGGGCGCAGCAGUCGCGAAAACUUUGCAAUAAGCGAAAGCUUGACAGGGCUAUCCCGAGUGCCAUCCGCUGAGGAAGGCUUUUACCCAGUCUAGAACGCUGGGGGAAUAAGGAGAGGGCAAGUCUGGUGUCAGCCGCCGCGGUAAUACCAGCUCUCCGAGUGGUGUGGAUGUUUAUUGGGCCUAAAGCAUCCGUAGCUGGCUAGGUUAGUCCCCUGUUAAAUCCACCGAAUUAAUCGUUGGAUUGCGGGGGAUACUGCUUGGCUAGGGAACGAGAGAGGCAGACGGUAUUUCCGGGGUAGGGGUGAAAUCCUAUAAUCCCGGGAAGACCACCAGUGGCGAAGGCUGUCUGCUAGAACGCGUCCGACGGUGAGGGAUGAAAGCUGGGGGAGCGAACCGGAUUAGAUACCCGGGUAGUCCCAGCUGUAAACGAUGCAGGCUAGGUGUUUGAACGGCCACGUGCCGUUCUAGUGCCGCAGGGAAGCUGUUAAGCCUGCCGCCUGGGGAGUACGAUCGCAAGAUUGAAACUUAAAGGAAUUGGCGGGGGAGCACCACAAGGGGUGAAGCUUGCGGUUUAAUUGGAGUCAACGCCGGG